GAAAAGUGGUAAUUCCCAUGUUAUUUUGCAAUAUAACACUCCUCCCUAGUCAACUCAGUCAAAAGUCAAAUAAUCAAAUGAUCGCAUGGCUUAUCUUCAGUGAAAUAUGUUACUCUCCUAGAUCUUACCGCAGGGGAUUACAUAACCCCACUGACAGCUCGCACUACGGACACCAUACUAUCUUCCACUCUGCUCCGCUGCCUCCCGCUUGUUUAUAGACAAUGCAGGGAAAGCUCUGCUCUGCAUACAAAACAAUUGUAUAAUGAAAAAAAAAUACAGAAGAGAAGAUUUAUAGAGAUCUGCAUCCCAUUUGAAGAGGUGAUAAUAACCUUUGGCAAAAUGAGAGAUUGCAGGGUUGCUCUGUUUUUCUGCGGUCUUGGUUUGCUUCUCGUUAAUGGCGUCAAUGGUGAAGACCCAUAUAGGUUUUUCACGUGGAAGAUCACUUAUGGUGAUAUCUACCCUCUUGGUGUUAAGCAACAGGGGAUCUUGAUCAAUGGCCAGUUUCCGGGUCCCCAGAUCGAUGCAGUCACUAACGAUAAUCUCAUCAUUAGUGUCUACAACUACCUUAGGGAACCAUUCCUUAUUUCUUGGUAAUAACAUUUGUUCUAUUUUCCUACAUUUUCUUUUUCUAAAUUCUGUUUUCCUUGUUUGGCUUCUGAGAAAAUGUUUACGGAUCAUGGAAAG